rnacentral:rRNA from 1 species
UACGUAGGGUGCGAGCGUUAAUCGGAAUUACUGGGCGUAAAGUGUGCGCAGGCGGCCGCGCAAGUCGAGUGUGAAAUCCCCGGGCUUAACCUGGGAAUGGCAUUGGUGACUGCACGGCUAGAGUGUGUCAGAGGGGGGUAGAAUUCCACGUGUAGCAGUGAAAUGCGUAGAGAUGUGGAGGAAUACCGAUGGCGAAGGCAGCCCCCUGGGAUAACACUGACGCUCAUGCACGAAAGCGUGGGGAGCAAACAGG